AUGGAGAGGAGAUUCUGCACUCA
rnacentral:siRNA from 1 species